GGAGCUCGAACUCACAACCCCGAGAUCAGUAGUUGCAAGGUCCUCCACCUGAGCCUGCCAGGUGCCCCUCUUCCUCUUCUUUAAGGACCCUGAUCUCAUCCUGGAGGCCCCAUCCUCAUGACCUCACCUAAUUACCUUAGAAGGCCCCACCUCCUAAUAUCAUCACAUUGGAGGUUAAGGUUUUAACAUUUGCAUUUUGAGGUGACACAAACAUUCAGUCCUACAAUACUAACAAUAACAAGUCCACACACACACAGCUUAGCAGCUGGCAAAGUGAAUUCAUAUAAACCACCUCAUUUGCACCUCAUGAUCCUUACCGAUGCCGUGUUCUUUCAACUGCAGCGGAAAUCAGGCCGUUCUGCCCCUGGUAUGAACAACUGCAGUAACAAAGCAGAAACAAGAACUGGUGUUUACUUCGUGCUCUGCUGUGGCCCAUCUCUUUGAAAACAGUAUCGCCUCGGGGAGAGGAAGAGUGUUGAGCAAGUUCUCCUCUACAAUCAGACAGCUCCGCUUUAGGGACGGACAGCCUUCCAGUUCAGGAGGAAGUGUUUCCAGGUUAACUAUUCCACCGGAGAACUUUUCAUCUCUCUGGCUGCUGUCUUCUGAGAUUGCAAGACAAGUUAUGCACUUACGUGGUUCUAAGAUUUCCAAAAUCUGUAACAAAUUUAUGAAGCAUACAACUUAAAAAAGGAAUAUUCUGCUGAGAAGACAGAAGUGUAAUGAAAGCUCCCUCAUAAUGACAAAUUGUCAUCUCAGAGUGAAGCCACUGCUGUCAAGUGAAAAAACAACAAAAUGUAGCUCAGUUUCUUUAUCCAGGCUAAAACCCAAAUGACUCAAACUAAUUUUCGAAACUAGAGCAAAACCUAUUGCCUUUCUUCCUCCCCAACAGCAAACAAAAGUACAAGUUAGAAAAAAUGAAAUGUGAAAAUACUAAAUGACAAUGCUUGUUAGAAUAGAAUAAAUAGUCCAUGUGAGGCAGGAAAAACCAGGACUCAACCAUCAGGGUAACGCAGACGGGACGCAGGGGCUACCACAGGCUGCAGCGUCAGUGGGUUCUCCAAUUGCCAUGCUAACAAGUGUUACAAAACUGGCAUUACCUACCCCCUCAAAAACAUUUUCUCUCCCCACUGGUGGUACAAAAGACAUGUUCAUUUUCACUUAAAAAGUCAAUUCCAAGAGAAUCUUAAAAAAUCUGGAAGAUUUGGAGAUGACAAAUAUAACACUUAGAAUUCCCUUUCUCAAAGAAGAGUUCCCUUCAAAAGGUUUCCCAGUGAGGGACAUACAAGGGAAUAUUUCCAAGUGACUGUGGAUUAAAGAACAAUAGGAGACAAUCAACUACGAUAGAAAAACAAGAGGCCCCACUGCCUUUUACUUUGAAAAUUGAGAAGUCUGGAUGCUCUUAUUUCCUUCUGGUCAGUAGAGAUAGGGGAGAUUGAAAAAAAUGAACUCCUUUGUAGUUAAGCAAGGAACUGCUCUAAAACUCUGGAGUCUGAGAAUGGCUUUACAUUUGCAUGAAUUUGUGUUUUAGUGAUGGUUUAAAUAAAAUCUUGCCCUUUAAGCCGUAGCAAGAAGUCAAGAAUUUCUUCUGAGUAACUUGAUCUCAUUUUGUAAGUCAGAUAUGGCAAGAAUCACUGCAAUAUCACACUUACUCAUCCUGCCUUGAGCAAUUCCAUAAGUUUAAGGCUUUAGGUUAUAUAAAAUUAAAGUAGCCUAUUUCAUCAGUUUGAAAAGUUCAAACUAAGAAUACCAGAUGUACUUAAAAGAGGGACAUUUCAUUUCCCCAUCUGUCCCACCCUGCCAUCACUUCCAUGAAUCACCUCCAUGAGCCACCUUGACCUCCCCAGCCUGAAUUCACUGCUCCUCCAUCUGUGUUCCUAUAACAUUAACAGUUCUCUCACACUGUUUUGUAGUAUAUAAUAAGCUAUUGCCUCAAGUUCCUUGAGCGCUGAGGCAGCAUCUUAUUUAUCUACAUUUCUGGGAUCUUUCCAGGGCUAGAUUAAAAGCCUGGAUGUUACGGCAAUUUCCAUGUACAUAGUCAUGAAUGGGGUGCUGAAAACAUCUCUGGAAACUUAACUAGAUUAAACAAAAAUAGUAUCCAUCAGAACUCUUCUCGGGAGAGAAAUAUAGAGAAUAUGGUUGGAAGGAAAAAGAAGGGGUCUGAUGUUUUUCUUCUGGUCAGUUGAGAUCCUCAAAAUGGGCAUAAGGAGAAUAUGAGGGAUUCUUUGGCUACCUCCUUCCCUCUAACAUAAGGCUUGGCUUUUCCUCCUAAAAAUGUUGUAAACAAAUAUUUAAAGAAUAAUAAUCUGAAGUGGCAUCAAAUCAUCAGCCUGCCCAGGGUAACAAAUUAUUAGCCUAUCUCUUGUACCCCCAUAUCUCAAUCCUGCCCCUAUACCUACCAUGAAUAUUUAGUAAAUGAUUACUGAGUGAACAAAUAAUACCAAAUCAGAUUUUACCACCCAGUUAGGAACCAAGGGUACAGAGGAAGAGUCCCAGCUCUCUGAAUGAUCUAUGAACAUAAUUGGUACACACACACACACACACACACACACAGUGGGUCUGGAAAGGUGGGAAAACAAAGCAGAGGGGACAGAAACUCUGGCAUUUCCAUCAUCCGGUGACAGGCCCAGAGAUUCAGAAGCAGAGGCUGGGCCUUCACCCUUCAGGGAGAAUGGAGAAAAACUCAUACUCUUCAACUUAGCCAUCAAAUAUGACAUCUCGCAAAUCUGAACGAGAACUGCUGUCAAAUUUAGCAUGCCUGGCUGCAAUCUAAUGACAGUGAGUCACUUUGAAUCAGUGAUGGAUCACUGGAUAAAUGCCACAGCAUUCCUAUAUGACCUUAAUAUCUUAUCAAAUUAUGAUUUCACCAUUGUUUUCUACAAGUUAAAAGUACAAUGAGAUGGGAAUAAUGCCAAGACCCGGGGAACUAUCAAGGUUUCACCCCAACGAGGAUGGUGUGUGUCAUGCUGAUCUGCGAGCCCUUUCCCUCUUCCCCUUCCCCCAAGACCUUGGGCUCUGGGAAGGUAAGGACAUUUCUUGUCUACUCAGGGUCUGCCAGACACAAGGUGCCCUGUAAGUACUGUAAUUCCACAAUUCUCGGGAGCUAUGAUCAAGCUGAAAAUAUUACAUGUCUCUGGAUGGUUUCAGUCUCCUGAAAUCAAUAACUUCUGUCAGUGCUCAGCUGUAAAGAAUGCUAUAUCCAGUAGAACAUAUUCUUAACCCAAUGACAAAGAUCAAAUUGUCAUGCACUCAAAAUCAGCCUAGUAUUUAGGUCGAGUUAACUCCUGACCCUAAAAUGUAAAGGUUUAAUGUUCACCAAGUAUUAAAUGACUGCUAAACACAAAAGAUGUUUAAAAUGAAAGCUGCUACCCCCACUCUACCCCCCAAACAAGUAGUUGUUCCAUACUCCAUGCUUCUUCAACAUUUAGGGAGUCCUGAUAGAUCUAUUAUACUGCCACUAAACUGCAUCACAAAGAGUGGGUUAGAUGCCCUCCUGUCUGUCACUUUGAGCUCUUAGAAGAAUACAGGGUACUGGACAGGACCUAACACAUGAGACUUUCUUAGUAAUAACUGCUAAAUUAAAAAGGUAGUCAGGUAGGUGAGGUAGGCAUUAUGAUCUCAGCUCUACAGGUGAGAAAGUUGAGGAAUGGAGAAAUUAAGAAACUUGCUCAAGCUCACAAAGCGAACCCCAAAUUCACACCAUCCAGCACUAUGAGCCAUCUGCUGCACCGCCUCUCCAGUGAACUAUAUAAAAAGGAGUUUUAUAUAGAAAGUGGCAGCUCUCUUUUUAAAAAAUCUACAAGCUAUCUUUUAGAGGAACCAAAAGACACAGUCUAAAAGCUAGAUUUAUAGAGGUUUUCCAGCUCGUACUCAGUAUUCCAUCUCGUGAAACAGAAUCAACAAAUGCUCCCUGCCUCCUGCCUGUCUCUAUUAUAUAAUUAAGAUUGACACAUUAGAUAACUAGAGCAAGAGUGCAUCCUGCAGGCACAGCCUCUUACAGAGAAACAUUCUCCCACCGAUAUAAUAACAAGAGGAAUAACUGAAGUUUAAUCUAUAUUUAAAUGAUAUUUUACAAGGCUUUUCUUCUUGGCUUUCCUAUUAAAAUGUGGCUAAAACAAAUUAAUACCAUAUUCCCUACAUAGGACAUUCUUUCUGAAUAACUUAAUAAAGAAGUGUCACAUGCCUUCAGCAGGUUAGCUACUUUCAAUAUGUGAGUUACGUUGAUAGGCCUAGUUCUUAUCAUAAAACUCUUAUGAAUGUUUGAGAAACCUGGAAGGGAGCACAGCAGGAUGGUUAAGGUCUGAUGGAAUUCUAACUUUGUCAUUUACCACCUGCUUGAUCUCAGAUAAGCUAAGUAUCAAUUUUUUCAUCUAUAAAACAGAGACAAUAGAGUUAUUUUAGGAAUUAAAUGAGAUAACUAUAAAUCAAAUGUUUAGCACAGCAGCAGGUACCCAGCAAGCAUUCAAAAUUGGUAAUUUAUUAACAGAGUAGCAGUUUUAUCUAAAAUUAAUCCUUUAAAGGUUGGCUUUAAAGUAUCCUGUAAGAGAAACCAGAAUGGAUGUCAGGGGGUUUGGUUUUCCACCAAAAUGAGUGAUUUCUAUGCCAGAUUUUACAAUAUAUCACAUGACUCCAGUUACUAGAAAGUGUUGUGAAAUAUAAUCAUAGCUUAUCUCAAUUAUUUAGCAUAUGGCCCAGAGGGAAGACAGUGUUGUGAGGCCAAAACAAUACACGCUGAUGCAAAAAUGAGUUACCCCAGGCAAGUGACCCCUACUUCCCGGUGGAGUGCCUGUUUUCCCAGUCAAGCAUCAUGGUUCAGGGCUAUUCUGGAGGAGGAUGAGGGAAUUACAGGAAUGAGACUGGAUGUUUAAAUGAAGGAAAGUAACCAUCACAGUGGCAUAGGGAAGAAUCAAGACUACGAGGCAGCAUGGCUUAACAGGAAGAACCUGACUAGGUGUCAGGAGACUCAAUUUCUACUUCCUGCUUUCCACCAAUCUGACAGCAUAAUGUUGAGAACACUAGGGCUUGACUCCAAAAGGCUGGGCAGAUGGGUCAUAUAUCCUGUGAUCAUCAAUCACUUGAGAAUAGCUGGACUAGGAAGAAAGGAUGCUUCAUCCUAUGGCUCACUGUGGGCAUUCAUUCAAAGGAAUUAGAGGCAGAGGCUGGUUUUCCAUGGCUGCAGUGUGGAAAAUGUGUACUUUGAGUCCGCGGCCUGUGUCCACCACCAUCUUUAUGGGCUAAAGCAAAUCAACUCAUCCAACCCAGGCCUCCAGUCCUUGCCUUUACAAUAUGGACAAUCAUUUAGGCUGCAAGGGUUGAUACUGGUGAUGAAAUAAAUAUUGUGAAAGUACUCUGGAACCAUGAAAGUAGCACAUAAAUAUAAGGGUGAGCUCUUAUAAAGAAUGCCAAUUUUUUCUCUUUUUUUGCCAGUAAUUUUUAAAAAGGAUACCUUUAGCCUUGGAACAUUAUCUUAAAUCGAAACAAAACAACCCAUGAAGUGAGCUUAAUUUAUUCCAUUUUGGUUCCAAGGAAACAAAACAGCGAGUGUUACAAGGUCCCUGACACUUCCUAACACUUAAGUCCCACUACAAAAGUCAAAAGGAAUUUUUCCAAAAGGCCCAGGGGUCCAGGUAGAAAUAUGUAGCCCAAACAUAGAAUUGUACAGUGAGAAGAAGGUAACAACAGAAGUAGAAAAUUCUUUUCCAAAUCAACCUUGCAAUAAUGGGCUCAUAGUAGACCAUUUAUAAUUCAGUCAAUUGGAAAAAGAAAAGAAGAAGAGAUAACACAACACCUACAACCUCUGGCUCACAGUACCAAUGGAGUGCAGCCAUGCCUAUCUGCCCAGCCCAGAGGCCUUUGAAAACAUUCCAGUCAGCUGACACUGCUUAUCUCUUCCCUGGAAGGUGUGGGAAGAGUGAAACAUCCAGCAAGAGUAUUAACAGAGAAACAGGUCAGUUUCGAAAGAGCAAGCUCUUAUGGCAUCUAUGUUUCAUGUAAAAAGUCCACGCUCCUCUUGGUGUUAAACCGGUACUUCAUGUUUAUAA